AGUGAACGCUGGCGGUAGGCCUAACACAUGCAAGUCGAACGGCAGCACAGUAAGAGCUUGCUCUUACGGGUGGCGAGUGGCGGACGGGUGAGGAAUACAUCGGAAUCUACUUUUUCGUGGGGGAUAACGUAGGGAAACUUACGCUAAUACCGCAUACGACCUACGGGUGAAAGCAGGGGAUCUUCGGACCUUGCGCGAUUGAAUGAGCCGAUGUCGGAUUAGCUAGUUGGCGGGGUAAAGGCCCACCAAGGCGACGAUCCGUAGCUGGUCUGAGAGGAUGAUCAGCCACAAUGGAACUGAGAAACGGUCCAGACUCCUACGGGAGGCAGCAGUGGGGAAUAUUGGACAAUGGGCGCAAGCCUGAUCCAGCCAUACCGCGUGGGUGAAGAAGGCCUUCGGGUUGUAAAGCCCUUUUGUUGGGAAAGAAAAGCAGCAGGUUAAUACCCCGCUGUUCUGACGGUACCCAAAGAAUAAGCACCGGCUAACUUCGU
rnacentral:rRNA from 1 species